GCCUGGAGCCUGCUUCGGAUUCUCUGUCUCCUUUUCUCUCUCUCUGCCCCUCCCCAACUCGUGCUCGCUCUCUUUCUCAAAAAUAAAUAAACAGUAAAAAAAAUUUUUAAUGAGAAAAGCAUUAUUACCACAGUACCAAAACCGGCCAAAGAUACCUGGAGAAAAAGUGAUAUAUCAAUAUACGUCAUAAACAUAGAUGCAGAAAUUGCUAAACUAUUAGCUAAUUUGACACAGCAAUAUGUAAAGAGCAUAAUAUGUCAUGAUCAAGUAGAGUUUAUCUCAGAAUGCAAGGUUGGUUUAACAUUAAAAGUUAAUUACUGUAAUCCAUCAUAUUAACAGAAUAAAGACCAUUUUCAUACAUGUAGAAAAAGCAUUCGGCAAGAUUCAACACUGAUUUAUUAUUUAAAACUCUCAGCAAACUACGUGCUCUCUUAGGCAGCACGUAUACUAAAACUCUCAGCAAACUAGGAAAAGAAGGAAAUUUAAUUUGAUAAAGGGCAUCUGUGGAAACCUACAGCUAACAUACCUAAUGUUGGAAAAGUUAAGCCCAUCACUGGACAACUGCCUGUCAGACAAUAUAUGUUCCCAUUUCUCCCUCUUCUACCUUUGCUGAGGUUUCUCCAGUUUUUACCCCAAUGUUUCUGCAACUAUCGCCAUCCCCUGUUGCUUCCUGUGCUCAUUGCCGAGGUCUUUCUCAGUAUUUGAACUGUGAAGCAGAUGAAUGCCCCAUCUGUGAAGCUCAGAGAGUAUGUUCGCCAGGUAAGCAGUCCCAAGGUCAGAAUGUUUGGGGAAUCUAUUGAUUCAGCAGAUAAUUAUAAAAUCCAUCCCCAGAUGAAGGUGAAACUAGUUGAUUCAGCAGCAAAGAGCCCAAAUGAAUAAAAUAUUCCUUUCAUGUACUUAUGUGAUAGAAACACCAUUCAGCAGAAGACAAGGAGAAAUUCCUAAAUAUUCAGUGCUAAAGCCUUCAUUUUAGAGGAUAUAGCUUCAAUCGCAUCAAAUCAGAGCUAUCAGAGCUGAAACAGGCACAGUGCAGUGAUGUGGCUUGCCCAAGAUCCCACAGCUAGUAACUGGUAGAGGCAGAGUUUGACCUCACGUAGCAUGCAUCCAGAGCCUGGUACUUGUUGAGGCUUUUCCCUUUUGGAGGAGUAGGGGACUUUAGAUGUCAACAUACCUGGAAGAGAACCUCUGGGACAGACCCAUGAGGGUGGGGGAGGGGUGGAAAAGGUAACUUUCAUGAUGCUCAAACUGCGAGAUACUUGACAAGAAAAUGUCUUGGGUACUACUGGGAAUGGGAGAGGAAGAGAGAACAGAAUGAGGCGGGCUGUGGGGGAAAUACUAGACUAGUUCUCCAACUUGAAUGUGUUUGUGAAUCACUUGGGAAUCUAGUUAAAACAGGCUGUUUCAGUAGUUUGGAGUGGAGCCUCACUGCAUUUCUAAUAAGCUCCCAGAUCAUGUCAGCGCUACAGGUCAGACUGAGUAGUGAGUGUUAAAGAAUAUAUACAUAAGUAUAAAAUAUGAAUCAUAACUAGCUUUUAAGCUAAUGGCCUGGCCAAACCAAGGGCCAUUUAUUUACAGUUAUUUAGCAAAUACGAAAAUUUAUACAAAAGUUGUACAAAAAAUUAGGCAAUACCAGUUUCUUAGUUCCAAGUUUACAAGUUGAUAUCAGAAGCCAGAUUUAAAACAUGUGAAGCCUUAAUAAAGAUGAGUAGAUGGGUAAUGAUCAAAAAUUAAGACUGAAACAAUAACAUGGUAAUAACAAUAGUAUUAAUGAGGGUGAGAGACUUCUUGUUAAAUACAGUCAUUUAGACAUUGGUCUAUCUUUGUGCCUUUAAAAAAUUCCUCUAAAAUGACAAUAAGGAGGUGUUUUUGUUUUUGUUUUUGUCUGUAAAGUACCAUUCAGGACAAAGAGAACAGAAGAAAAUAACUGUGUACAAUAAGUGUUCACAAAAUUUUGGAAGAUAAAAAGAUGGAGGAGGUGCUAAUUGACUUAAAAAAAUGGUGGCUGCUGAAACUUACAUGCCAGUGGCUGGGACUACUAAUAAGAAGCAAGCUAAUUGACACAGUCGAAUCCCAGAAAGACUCAGGAAUUAGAUGAAACAGGCAUACUGAAGCUAUUAGAAGAUGUGCUUCCCCAAAACAGGAGCAUAGACCAAAAAUCAGGAAGCCAUGAGAUACAGAAAACAGGAGAUCCAACAUAAAAGAGAGAUGAAAGGGGUAACCACUGCUGUGGAAAUGAGAUCCUACUGUACGUAUUUAACAUCUUGACGACUGUUCCAUGUCAAUACAUAUGCCUUCACCUCUUUUUUGGCCAUAUGGUAUCCAUAGAGACCAUAAUUUAUGGUUUGAAGGAUCCUUCUAAAAGGUUAGCAUCCAGAAGUAAGUAUGACCCUCCAGAGGUCAGCCCAACGUGAGCAGGGUGCAGGAAGACUGCUCAGGGCUGGUGAUUAGGCAUCACUCACUUCCUGCCAGAAAGCUAAAGACCACUGUGUGAAUCGGGGAUCUUCACUGCUUCCCUUAUACCUCAAAAUUCUCCAGAGCCAAAUAAUUUGCCUUUGCUGCACACACACACACACACACACACACACACACACGCACGCGCACACACACACGAAGAGAGAAAUCAGUGUUCUCUAGAUCUGUAUCUGUAGGUAGAUUUAUAGAUAUAGACACACACACACACACACACACACACACACACACACACACACGGAGGAUUGGCUUCUCACUGGGGCUUAUUAGCAUAUCAAAAUGUUGACCCAACCUGAGGGAAACAAACACUCUUGUGUUGAUUAAGGAGGUGACUAAAGAACUCCCCUAUUUCUUCCUGUCCCUGUGGCAGCCUCUUGUGACGUCUCAUUCCUGUUGCAUAUCCCACCUCUGUUUCCUUCCACCUCAGAGCAGCCCUGGAAAAUCAAUGGAAGGGACUAUAUCCUCUGAUUAAGAACUUGCUUGCUUGACCCUUAACCUAGACUCAGCUCUUUCUGUGAUUGGAUCCCAGAAUCUUCAGUUAGAAAUGAGCUUAGAGAUGAUUUCUUCUAUUUUAAAAAUGAGGAAACAGGACCAGAGAGGGGAAGUGACUUGCUCACAGUAACACAGCAAGUAAGUGCAGAUAGCUGACUUCUGGACAGAGUCCUUCCUUUGAGUAUUUUCUUUCCAUAUUUGUCUCCUGAUCUAACGGGGCUGUGUGGCUUGGCCAAGACUCUCUGGCUAUCACAUUUCAUCACAUGGUCAAUGGCCAGAGGGUGGGUGGGGGACUGAAAAAGGGAGAAAAUGAGCCCUUACACCAGUGGUUUUGGUGGGGAGCACAGGAAAGCAUUUGGCUGAAAUGAAGGUUUGAGAUAGACUGCAUUUCAGCCAUCCAGGGACUUUGGACAGUUACUGUUGCAAACACUCUAGAGUUCCCUCCUGAACCUGAGCCUGUGUAUGUGACACCUUGGUGCAGGAAGCCAAUGAUACCCGUGUUUAACAGGUGACCUGAGCCCCAGGGAACCAUAUGUGAGCUGGAUCACACAGCAUGGCCUGGGCCAGGCCUGGGAGUCCUGGAUCCCACUUUGCUUGGCCCAACCUCCAGAGAAGUCCUCAAAGGCUUUUGAGGGGUACCCAUAGAGGAUGGGCAGAGGGUUUCUUUAGUUGUUGGCAGAGCCUCAGGAGUCCUGUGACCUUCCCACCUGCUGUGAGUCACCAAGCCUGUCUGACACUUGAGCUCCCGGUGGCUUCUUUUCGGACCCAGCUCAUGUUCCUCUCUGGGGGACAUGCCCCAGCUUGGAGGUAACUGAAGACCCCUUUCUCCUAUUAGAGAUGGAAACUGAACCAUAGCUUUUGGUGGGGCCCCUGGAUAUUCAUGACAAGGUCACUACUUGGAAGCAGGCUAAGAGAACAUGGUAUUAUGGAGAGCAAGGGAUGCUUCUUGCAGUUCUCUAAAGUCAAUUGUGUUUGUGUGCCUCAGAGCCCUUGGACCUGCUGCUUCUCCUGCCUGAGGUGGGCUCAGCUCCCAGCCCCAUCUCCUUUAUCUGGAGAACCAUCCUCACAGACUCACUCAUCUUAGCCAGAAUCUCCUCUGGGAGAUCUUCUCUCUGAGCUUCUAACCAAAAAGCCUCUGGCUCCUAAAAUUCCCCAUUCCUCCCCUGUCUUAGAAUUUAGCAUCAGGUACUGAAAUUACUGGUUUCAAUAUGUGUGUGGCCAAGUUCUAUAAAUGACCCACGUGUGUUUGAAAAGAAUACAUCUUGUUUAGCUAUAGUGUGCAGUGUGCCAUGCAGGGCCAUUAUAUUAAGCUUCUAAAUUGUGGGGUUCAAGCCUUUUUUUCCUUAAUUUUGUUUUUGUCUGCUUGAUCUAUCAAUUAUGGAGAAAGGUGUAUUAAAAUCUCCUACUUCCAUGUAGGACUUGGCAAUUUAUCCUUAUAAUUUUGUCAGUUUAAGUAUGAUACAAGUUGAAAUCUUUUAUUAGAUGUAUGUAGUCUUUUAAUUUUUAUAUCUCUUAAAGAUUUAAAAAUAUUUUAGAGAGAGAAAGCAUGAGUAGGGGAUGGGGGCAGAGGGAGAGAGAGAGAAUCUUCAGCAGGCUCCACACUCAGCACA